rnacentral:rRNA from 1 species
AGUGAACGCUGGCGGCGUGCCUAAUACAUGCAAGUCGAACGGAGAUUAAGUAGCUUGCUAUUUACUCUUAGUGGCGCACGGGUGAGUAAUAUAUAGCUAACUUGCCCAUUACUAAGGGACAACAGUUGGAAACGACUGCUAAUACCUUAUACUCCGUAUCUAUAUAAGUAGAUACGGGAAAGUUUUUCGGUAAUGGAUAGGGCUAUAUCGUAUCAGCUAGUUGGUAAGGUAAUGGCUUACCAAGGCUAUGACGCGUAACUGGUCUGAGAGGAUGAUCAGUCACACUGGAACUGAGACACGGUCCAGACUCCUACGGGAGGCAGCAGUAGGGAAUAUUGCUCAAUGGGGGAAACCCUGAAGCAGCAACGCCGCGUGGAGGAUGACACUUUUCGGAGCGUAAACUCCUUUUCUUGGGAAAGAAUUAUGACGGUACCCAAGGAAUAAGCACCGGCUAACUCCGU